AUGCUAGAUUCACAUGCAUACCUAUGUAACAGUGGUAUAGCAGGGAGAUUAGCAUAGCCCCUGCACUAGUAUGACAUGCAAAUUCAUGAAGUGUUCCAUAUUUAU
rnacentral:snRNA from 1 species